UAUAUAUAUAUAUAUAUAUAUAUAUUAUUACUACUCCAGUUCAUCACCAAGCUUCCGGUUUGUAAAUUUUUAAGUUUAUUUAUAUAUAUUACUACUACUCCAGUUCAUCACCAAGCUUCUGGUUUGUAAAUUUUUAAGUUUAUUUUCCGUCAAGUAUGUAAGUGUCUUUUGUAAAUACUACUACUUAGUUUGCUUCCGUUGUUACUGUUCAUUACUAUUCACAUUGUUACUAUUCAUUACUGUUUUUUAUUUUCUUUUUGAUAUACAUGUGAACGAAGAAGAAGAUAUAGCUAUAAACAAUAUCUAUAUCCUUUCCUCCGUCUACACAAUAUUCUCUUACUAGAAAAGGCAUUAACACCUCUGUUCUUGUUUGCUUACGAGAUGGAAGAUUUUCUGUUUUUACAGACUCUUUAAUUGGUCUAAUUGAGUCAAGUCUAAGCAAUGGUCCUAUAUUCUUUAAUGCUUUUCCAAACUUCUCAGUUUCUUUAUCAGACCCUGGCAUUCUCAAAAUAUUAAUUUUAAAUCUUCAAACCUCUGGAUUUAAUAUGGAUAUUAAUUCUGAGAAUAUAGCUUUAACUUAUAGAAUCUGCUAUAAAGCCAUGAAUACGCUCACACCUUUAGUUAAGAUUAACCCUGAGAAAAGAGCAACUACUUUAUUUCUUACCAAUGCAAAAAAUAAUCUGGUAGUACCACGGACUUUAAAAUGACAUGAAAUUCAACUUCCUUCAGUUUGAAAAUUAAGUCAAGUCAUUGAAGCUUUACCCCCUGAAAAUUCUAAUCUUCAAAAAAUUAUUGAACAUCCUAAUGGUGAUGUCGAUGUUAACUUUUCUUCGUUUAGAAAAAUCACUCUUGAAACUAAUGACGAACGACAUGCCUCAAUUUCUUCAAUUCCAACUCGGGAAAAAGAUUUCUUUAAACACAACAAACCAAUAGGAAUUAAAUAUAACAUUGAGCCAACUGCCAUUUAUGAUGAUUCUGAUUCAUCAAGACUAGGUAUUAAUGUUAUUGAGAACUUUGAUAAUACACCUCCUUUUGACUUUGAUAAAGAAGCUCUAAGAAAAGAUUUUAAUUCUCCAAAAAAUCAUCACAAAAAAGAAUGGUUUUUUAAAACUUAUGAAAAAGACUUUAGGUCAUCAAUUCGAGCCGUAUAUUAUGAUUGUAUGCGAACCAUUAGAAAAAAAAUAUAUCAUUUUUCUUAUGGUAUGAGUUUAUUUACGUUGAAGAUUAAAAGAAUUCUCUUAAACAUUUACCUAUUGAAAAUCAGGUCCAUAUGCUAAAAAGGAUUACAAACACAUGGUUAUUGAGCAAAAUAAUUUGAGCAAAAUAAUUUGAAAAUCAGGUCCAUAUGCUACUCUUAUAAAAACUCUUGAGUCAAAUUCCAACACAGCCAGACAAGAACAUCUCUCUGGUUAUUGAGCAAAAUAAUUUUACUAACAUUCAUCUUCAAGCAAUAGGUAAACAAACAGAUAGGAUUGAAAACAUGCUUCUCAACAUGAAAAAACCUAUUAUCAAUCAGAUAUCUAUGCCUCCGUUUGCUCCUCAGACUUUCACUGAGAAUAUCAAAUUAGGAAAUAAUAAACCUUUUAAACUAAGUGAAAAAAUGAGUAAUCUUACUGAAGAAUUAACUAAGAGAUUAAAAGACUUAUCUUUAAACAAAUCUCCCGCUAUUAAUGUCUUGUUAGAAUAUGAAACUCGGUUAGAUAAUACAGUUGACUAUUCAUCUGAUUAUAAUGAAACCAUCCAAAACAUUAGAAAGCAACCUUCUAGCUCAAAAAAUUACUAUUGAAGACCCACUCCAGCUGAUAUGUAAUUUGAAGAAAUAACUGAUAAUCAUAAGACAAAUUUUGAUGGAAAUUCUCUUGUUGAGUGGAAUCUUGAUGGAUAUACUGAAUACCAAAUUAUACAUCUAUUACAAGAAAUGCUUAUUUACGCUAAUGCCUGUAGACAACACGACAAUACUGAAAAAGACAUUGCAAGUGGAAUAUGUUCUUCCUUUUCUUAUCAGUUACAAGGUUGGUGGGAUCAUUAUCUUACUCCAACAUAUAAAAAUAACAUUCUAAAUAAUUAUAAACAAAACCAACUAGGAGAGCCAAUUCGCGAUGCAAACGGACAUUAUAUUAGUGAUGCUGUUUAUACCUUACUCCUUUUCAUUUACCAUCACUUCAUUGGCUUAGCUAAUAGCCUUCAAGAUAAAGUUAGAGAACAAUUCAUGAAUUUUAGGUGUAAAACCCUUACCGACUUUAGAUGGUACAAAGAUGUCUUCCUUUCCAAGGUCUACCAAUUACAUGACUAUAAUAAUCCUAUUUGGAAAGAAAAAUUCAUUUUAGGUCUUUCACCCUCAUUUGCUGAAAGAAUAAGAGAAUCCAUUAAAGAACAAAGUAAUGGACGUAUACCUUAUGAUCAAAUUCCUUUUGGAGAAUUAAUUCAGAGAGUAAAUACUAUUGGCCUAAAACUUUGUAAUGAUGUUAAAAUUAACAAUCAAUUAAGAAACCAAAACCUUUUACGAAAAAGGGAAUUAGGAGAUUUUUGCUAUCAAUUUGGCUUUCAAAUGGAAAACCCAAAAAUUAGAAAUUAUAAAAAACGACAGAAACCAAGAAAUACAAAGAAAGAAGAAAAUGAAUCUCCUAAAAGGACUAAGUUGUAUAUAUAUAUACUUAUACUUAUACUUAUACUUAUACUUAUACUUAAGUGGAUAGCAAGCCUUUGUCCACCAAAAUUUUUAUCCACUCAUAUAUAUAUAAAAAGUCUUUUCAUAUCUUUCAUGGAUCCCUAGGCAACAUCAAUGAGUAAGAAAGUAGGUGGAUGGUCCACCUAAGUUAACGUCAAUGACUGUAAUAAUCCUAUUUGUGUUUGCAUUUUGGUCAAGAGUGUUGGAAUUCUCAAUUUCUCAUGAUUAUCAUUUGAAAGGUAUUUUCAUUCCAUGUUUCUUUUUUAUUCGAAGUUGUUGCAAUCUGUAGUGAGUUUCUAUUUACUAUUUUCAUGAAAAUUGUUUUAUACUUAGUAAAAGGACUAUGAGAUGAGAUUAUAUUUUCAUGUGGUUUUUACAUUUUAUAUUGGCAAUGUGAAUAUGGUUCUUCCAAUUUCAUUUAGUUUUAAAUGAAGAAAUAAUUUGUGAACUUGUAUAAUUUGCAAAAUAUUGUUGACCUAUCAGGUGUUUAAAAGCAUUAGAAUUUGAAGUUUAUGAUUAAGGAAAACCAACUACAAUUAUUACAUCAAGAAAAAAAAGACUUCAGAAAAUCGGAGUGUGUUAGAUUCAUGAUGGCUAAAUAUGUUAAAAUGAUUCGAGAAUUCAUGAAUUUUUUUUAAACUACUAACCCAGAUUAUUUUUGCACCUGCUUACAUAUGUAUGAAAAUUUAUUAUGUACUCAUAUUUUAUCGCUUUUUGAGUAAUGUGGUAUCAUAGUUCUACUUUGGUCCCAUUUAAAAAAAAUCCUGGCUCCACCACUGUCUAUAAGCUCUUGUCCUCUUCCACAUGGUGGCCGGAGGCACCGUGGACGUACUGUCAUUGUACCAUGAUUAUGAUCAACACCACAUCAUCUCUGCCACUGCCAUCAUCAUCAUGCAACGCCUGCGGAGGCUCAGGCAUCGCUUGGUCUUCCUCCCAUGCCGCCACCUUCGAAGGCUUAAUUUGUCCAGGGCCCCCGGUCUCCAUCACCAUCGUAGCAGGCUCCAAAGUCACCAAGCCUUCCUCCUUUGCUGUCACCAUCCAAGGCUCCUUCAAUGCUACCAUCUCCGGCUCCAAAGUCACAAAGUCUUCCACCUUAAUUUGCAGUUGCCGUCCAUUUCUCCUUCAAUGCCGGCGCUGUCUCGGACUCCAUCUACGCCAUCUUCAGCGCCGUCGGAAUCUCCCAAGUCAUCUAGUCUUGCUCCUUCUCCGUCACCAUCUCCCUCGAUAGUGCAGCCCCCGUCCCCUUCACCCAAGACUCAAAUAUUGGAGCCCCCACAUCCUCCUCCAGCACCCACCCCAUCUCCAUCUCUGUCCAGGUGCAUAUGGAAUAUCAGUACUGUGCCGUCGAAAUGUACUCCAUCUCCCACUACACCAGCUUCUUCGCCUACUUCUCUUCCUCCUCCGCAUGAAGAGUCUGAAGAAGCAGCAACUUCACUGCCGCCACCACUUGGCCCUAUUCGAAGCAACACUGCUUGCUACCUUCCUUCUUUUUGUUCUCGCACUGUUAUUUGAUGCGAUAGCUAGCGUUGUAUCUUCUCUUCCUUCAAUUGUGCCUUUGCUUUUUUAUUCAAUCCCUUUUUCCUCCUUUUUCUACAUUCUGACACUCUAUUUAUUUGUGCAAUAGAAAGAGAUUGUAUUUUGGUUCA